GUGGCCCUGGCCAGUCUCCGACCUGAUCUGUCAACUCGUGGGGAAGGCAGGACAUUUCUGUGACUUUCGGUAUUGUCAACAGGAGACAGCCAGUAGAUGUCACUAAUGUGAACACAGAUGGAAUGAGUGUGCAGACUCAUGGCUGACCAGAAUCCACCGAAAAGAAUCCUUCCCUGGGAGUGAAUUGCAUGUAGGCCACCAGGUUCCAGAUGCUACCAUGAUGCCAAACGGACUUCCCUAGGCAGACCACCCCACCAAUGUGUCCUGGAGCCCUGCU